UGAGGAAUAUUGGGCAAUGCCCGCAAGGGUGACCCAGCAACGCCGCGUGGAGGAUGAAUGUCGUAAGAUUGUAAACUCCUGUUAGAGGGGAAGAAUAGUACCGGUUGGACCGGUAUAUGACUGUACCCUCAGAGAAAGCCCCGGCUAACUACGUUCCAGCAGCCGCGGUAAUACGUAGGGGGCAAGCGUUGUCCGGAUUUACUGGGAGUAAAGGGCGCGCAGGCGGGAUAAAAAGUCAGUGGUGAAAUCCUACAGCUUAACUGUAGAACUGCCUUUUAUACUUUUAUUCUUGAGUGCGGGAGAGAGAGACGGAAUUCCAGAUGUCGUGGUGAAAUACGUAGAUAUCUGGAAGAACACCAGUUGCGAAGGCGGUCUCUUGGUCCGAUACUGACGCUGAGGCGCGAAAGCGUGGGG
rnacentral:rRNA from 1 species